GGGAUUGCCUCAGUAACGGCGAGUGAAGCGGCAACAGCUCAAAUUUGAAAUCUGGCCCCUCUCGGGGUCCGAGUUGUAAUUUGUAGAGAGUGUUUCGGGGGAGACCGCGGUCUAAGUCCAUUGGAACAUGGCGUCAUAGAGGGUGAGAAUCCCGUCUGUGACCGCGGAUCGAGCCCAUGUGAAGCCUCUUCGACGAGUCGAGUUGUUUGGGAAUGCAGCUCAAAAUGGGUGGUAAAUUUCAUCUAAAGCUAAAUAUUGGCUGGAGACCGAUAGCGCACAAGUAGAGUGAUCGAAAGAUGAAAAGCACUUUGGAAAGAGAGUUAAACAGUACGUGAAAUUGUUGAAAGGGAAGCGCUUGCGACCAGACCUGCCCGUGGGCGAUCAGCCGCUGUUCUCAGCGGUGCACUCGUUCCACGAUCAGGCCAGCAUCGGUUUCGGCGGUCGGAUAAAGGCCUUGGGAAUGUAGCUUCCUUUCGGGGGAGUCUUAUAGCCCUUGGUGCAAUGCGGCCAGCCGGGACCGAGGACCGCGCUUCGGCUAGGAUGCUGGCGUAAUGGUCGUAAGCGACCCGUCUUGAAACACGGACCAAGGAGUCUAACAUCUAUGCGAGUGUUUGGGUGUCAAACCCAUGCGCGGAAUGAAAGUGAACGGAGGUGAGAACCCUUAAGGGCGCAUCAUCGACCGAUCCAGAUGUCUUCGGAUGGAUUUGAGUAUGAGCAUAGCUGUUGGGACCCGAAAGAUGGUGAACUAUGCCUGAAUAGGGUGAAGCCAGAGGAAACUCUGGUGGAGGCUCGCAGCGGUUCUGACGUGCAAAUCGAUCGUCAAAUUUGGGUAUAGGNGCGAAAGACUAAUC
rnacentral:rRNA from 1 species